rnacentral:rRNA from 1 species
AGUGAACGCUGGCGGUAGGCCUAACACAUGCAAGUCGAACGGCAGCACAGUAAGAGCUUGCUCUUACGGGUGGCGAGUGGCGGACGGGUGAGGAAUACAUCGGAAUCUACUUUUUCGUGGGGGAUAACGUAGGGAAACUUACGCUAAUACCGCAUACGACCUACGGGUGAAAGCAGGGGAUCUUCGGACCUUGCGCGAUUGAAUGAGCCGAUGUCGGAUUAGCUAGUUGGCGGGGUAAAGGCCCACCAAGGCGACGAUCCGUAGCUGGUCUGAGAGGAUGACCAGCCACACUGGAACUGAGACACGGUCCAGACUCCUGCGGGAGGCAGCAGUGGGGAAUAUUGGACAAUGGGCGCAAGCCUGAUCCAGCCAUACCGCGUGGGUGAAGAAGGCCUUCGGGUUGUAAAGCCCUUUUGUUGGGAAAGAAAAGCAGCAGGUUAAUACCCCGCUGUUCUGACGGUACCCAAAGAAUAAGCACCGGCUAACUUCGUG